AGAGAAGCCAGGGAGGGGUUUUUGCUGAUAUUCUCUCCCUCUCUCUCUCUAAGGUUGAGCCGUACGUGGAGGAGCUUUCGGGUGGAGUUCGGAUCGUCGCCGACGACGCGACGGGGAGCCGUUCGAGCGCGUGGACGUCGUAGUUGUGUCGAUUGGAGGCCGUUCGAGCGUGUGGUUCCGCUCCUUUCGUUGGUUCACCGGGAUGUUUGUAUGUAUAGUGAACUUCUGUUUUAUAUAUCUCAUAUCUUUUAGCAGCUCUAUACUACUAGUUGUAGUAUUGUAUGUUUACAGGUACAGCUAUCGCUUCGUGUACAGAAAAUUUUUUUUUGUAUACGGCGGAUUUGUCGAUGUGCAUGAAAAAACGUGUAAUCCGAGGCGUGUCAGAUUAAGUUGGUAUCAGAGCUUAGUAUUAGGUCGUUGGGACCUAGAAAAUCUAAGUUUGGCAAAUCUUAGGAGGGCAAGACGCGAGGGGCAUGAUUUAUCGCGAAAGUCAAUGAUUGAAUAGUUAUAAUUCCUAGAGUGGAGUGAGUGAUUGAAGGAGUGUCUGUUUCGGU
rnacentral:lncRNA from 1 species